AGCUCCAAUAGCGUAUAUUAAAGUUGUUGUGGUUAAAAAGCUCGUAGUUGGAUCUCGGCAAACUGAGGGCGGUUUACUUGCUAGUACUACUGCCCUAUAGUUUGUAUUAUUGCUGGAGGUUUAGAGGUGAUCUUAAUCGAUUGUCUCUGGAUGCCAGCAGGUUUACUUUGAAAAAAUUAGAGUGCUCAAAGCAGGCUUAUACGCCUGAAUAUUCGUGCAUGGAAUAAUAGAAUAGGAACUUGUUCUUAUUUUGUUGGUUUUCGAGAAUCAAGUCAAUGAUUAAUAGGGACAGUUGGGGGCAUUUGUAUUCAAGCGAAAGAGGUGAAAUUCUUGGACCGUUUGAAGACAAACUACUGCGAAAGCAUUUGCCAAGAAUGUUU
rnacentral:rRNA from 1 species